AUACCAUGAAUGUGCCACAGGUGGUCCAGGAACUUUUUCAGGGUUUAUGAAAUGAGAUGAAAUUAUAGUAGAGGCUUUACCACCUGGAGUUUAUCAGCUGUGUCUGCUUGCCCUUCUAAAUGAAACCAUUCUUUGGAACAUCUUGAUCACUUCAUGUUCAUCACAUUGACUUCCUAAGUCAGGUAAGUCCUCCAGGGUCUCCUUACUUGAAUCAUUGUCUGGUAAUAUGAUUGUACCUGGGAUCAUUAGGAAACUUUUCUUUUCUCUGAGAAAC
rnacentral:lncRNA from 1 species